UACUAUGGUGACAAUCCCACCAUUAACUU
rnacentral:piRNA from 1 species